rnacentral:rRNA from 1 species
CCUACGGGGGACAGCAGUAGGGAAUAUUGCUCAAUGGGGGAAACCCUGACGCAGCAACGCCGCGUGAAGGAUGCAGGUUUUCGGUUUGUAAGCUCCUUUUGUUAGGGAGGAUAAUGACGGUAUCUACCGAAGAAGCACCGGCUAACUCCGUGCCAGCAGCCGCGGUAAUACGGAGGGUGCAAGCGUUACUCGGAAUCACUGGGCGUAAAGCGCGCGUAGGCGGGAUAGCAAGUCAGGUGUGAAAUCCUAAGGCUUAACCAUCGAACUGCACUUGAAACUGUUAUUCUAGAGUAUGGGAGAGGUAGGUGGAAUGCUUGGUGUAGGGGUAAAAUCCGUAGAGAUCAAGAGGAAUACUCAUUGCGAAGGCGAUUUGCUAGAACAUAACUGACGCUGAGGCGCGAAAGCGUGGGGAGCAAACAGGAUUAGAUACCCGUGUAGUC